rnacentral:rRNA from 1 species
AGAAUGAACGCUGGCGGCGCGCCUAAUACAUGCAAGUCGAGCGAGAAGACGUAGCAAUACGUUUGUAAAGCGGCGAACGGGUGAGGAAUACAUGGGUAACCUACCCUUGAGUGGGGAAUAACUAGCCGAAAGGUUAGCUAAUACCGCGUACGCUUCUUGGACUUCGGUUCAGGGAGGAAAGCGAUGCCGAGGGUAUCGCGCUCUUGGAUGGGCUCAUGUCCUAUCAGCUUGUUGGUGAGGUAACGGCUCACCAAGGCUUCGACGGGUAGCUGGUCUGAGAGGACGAUCAGCCACACUGGCACUGCGACACGGGCCAGACUCCUACGGGAGGCAGCAGUAAGGAUAUGCGCAAUGGGCGAAAGCCUGACGCAGCGACGCCGCGUGGGGGAUGAAGGUCUUCGGAUUGUAAACCCUUUGGGAGGAAGAGUGGAAGUGGGUAACCCAGUUCGGACGGUACCUCCAGAAGCAGCCACGGCUAACUCGUGCCAGCAGCCG